CGUAGCCGCGGGAAUACGAAGGGGGCUAGCGUUGUUCGGAUUUACUGGGCGUAAAGGGCGCGUAGGCGGACUGAUAAGUCAGGGGUGAAAUCCCAAGGCUCAACCUUGGAACUGCCUUUGAUACUGUUUGUCUUGAGUUCGAGAGAGGUAAGUGGAACUGCGAGUGUAGAGGUGAAAUUCGUAGAUAUUCGCAAGAACACCAGUGGCGAAGGCGGCUUACUGGCUCGAAACUGACGCUGAGGCGCGAAAGCGUGGGGAGCAAACAGGAUUAGAUACCCGCGUAGUCCCUGUCUCUUAUACA
rnacentral:rRNA from 1 species